rnacentral:rRNA from 1 species
AACGAACGCUGGCGGCAGGCCUAACACAUGCAAGUCGAGCGCCCCGCAAGGGGAGCGGCGGACGGGUGAGUAACGCGUGGGAAUAUGCCCUUUGCUACGGAAUAGUCUCGGGAAACUGGGGGUAAUACCGUAUACGCCCUUUGGGGGAAAGAUUUAUCGGCGAAGGAUUAGCCCGCGUUGGAUUAGGUAGUUGGUGGGGUAAUGGCCUACCAAGCCGACGAUCCAUAGCUGGUUUGAGAGGAUGAUCAGCCACACUGGGACUGAGACACGGCCCAGACUCCUACGGGAGGCAGCAGUGGGGAAUCUUAGACAAUGGGGGCAACCCUGAUCUAGCCAUGCCGCGUGAGUGAGGAAGGCCUUAGGGUUGUAAAGCUCUUUCAGCUGGGAAGAUAAUGACGGUACCAGCAGAAGAAGCCCCGGCUAACUCCGUG